rnacentral:lncRNA from 1 species
GCAGACAUGCCUUGAAUUGGAACGCUACCUACAGACGGAGCCCCGGAGGAUCUCAGAGACCUUUGGUGAGAAGCCUUAUAAGUGCUCAUGGGAGGGAUGUGAGUGGCGUUUUGCACGAAGCGAUGAGCUCACGAGGCACUACAGGAAACACACAGGUGCAAAGCCCUUCAAAUGCAACCACUGCGACAGGUGUUUUUCCAGGUCUGACCAUCUUGCCCUCCACAUGAAGAGACAUAUCUAAAAAACCGAAAGGCCAGAGUUGCCAUGGCAUCGGCUAGUGUCUAAAGGAAACGCCAUGAGGCAGGGGGCUGGACUUCAGGCGGGGACCCAUUGCCUCGCAGAAGAAAGUUCUCACUUAUAAACCUCUGUACACACACACACACACACACACAUAUACACACACUCACAGACCCACACACAUACACACUGUCAUGCACU